rnacentral:rRNA from 1 species
GACGAACGCUGGCGGCGUGCUUAACACAUGCAAGUCGAACGGAGUGGCGAACGGGUGAGUAACACGUGGGUGACCUGCCCUGCACUUCGGGAUAAGCCUGGGAAACUGGGUCUAAUACCGGAUAGUGUGGGAUGGGCCCGCGGCCUAUCAGCUAGUUGGUGAGGUAAAGGCUCACCAAGGCGACGAUCAGUAGCUGGUCUGAGAGGAUGAUCAGCCACAUUGGGACUGGGACACGGCCCAAACUCCUACGGGAGGCAGCAGUGGGGAAUCUUGCGCAAUGGGCGAAAGCCUGACGCAGCCAUGCCGGGUGAAUGAUGAAGGUCUUAGGAUUGUAAAAUUCUUUCACCGGGGACGCGGUACCCGGAGAAGAAGCCCCGGCUAACUCCGUGCCAGCAGCCGCGGUAAUAC